rnacentral:rRNA from 1 species
UACGGAGGAUCCGAGCGUUAUCCGGAUUUAUUGGGUUUAAAGGGUGCGCAGGCGGUCUGCUAAGUCAGCGGUCAAAGCCCGGGGCUCAACCCCGGCCCGCCGUUGAAACUGGCAGUCUCGAGUUGGAGAGAAGUAUGCGGAAUGCGCGGUGUAGCGGUGAAAUGCAUAGAUAUCGCGCAGAACUCCGAUUGCGAAGGCAGCAUACCGGUGCACAACUGACGCUCAGGCACGAAAGCGUGGGGAGCAAACAGG